ACUAUCGCUGAUCCACUAAAU
rnacentral:siRNA from 1 species